CCUACGGGUGGCAGCAGUGAGGAAUAUUGGUCAAUGGCCGAGAGGCUGAACCAGCCAAGUCGCGUGAGGGAAGAAUGUCCUAUGGAUUGUAAACCUCUUUUGUCAGGGAGCAAAGUCACCCACGUGUGGGUGUUGGAGAGUACCUGAAGAAAAAGCAUCGGCUAACUCCGUGCCAGCAGCCGCGGUAAUACGGAGGAUGCGAGCGUUAUCCGGAUUUUUUGGGUUAAAAGGGUGCGUAGGCGGGUUAUCAAGUCAGCGGUAAAAUCGUGGAGCUCAACUCCAUCCAGCCGUUGAAACUGAUGAUCUAGAGUGCGGGAGGGGUAAGCGGAAUUCCUAGUGUAGCGGUGAAAUGCGUAGAUAUUAGGAGGAACACCGGUGGCGAAGGCGGCUUACUGGACCGUAACUGACGUUGAGGCUCGAAAGCGUGGGGAGCAAACAGGAUUAGAUACCCUUGUAGUC
rnacentral:rRNA from 1 species